ensembl:lncRNA
CAUUGUUGUGCAGCGUGUAACGUUUAAAAAGAAGGGUGGAGCAGCAUUUGUAAGAAAGCAUUUUCUAAAAUGCCACUGGCCAUUGAGCAGAGUGUUGUCGUAAGUGGAUGAAAACUAGAUACAUAGAGGGACAAGCAACCAAAUGCCAACAAGAAGAAAAAAGCUAUGAAGGUCUGUCCUACAGCUGCUGACUGACUACAAUUGGGUAUGUGUGUCCUAUACUGAGUCAUGAUAUUCAUGUCAAACUGCCUGAAGACAAAAAGAACUACAAGAUUUAAAGGAUACAAAGAAGAAUCCACACAUCUCAUAAAGUUUGACUUACCGUUGAACAGCAGAGGGCAGUAAAACCCAAGAAUGCUGAUGAAACCCACAGUGCAUCAGAAUGACCAUCCGAAUCAGUGGGCCCCGUAUUACACAACAAAGUUGUGAAUACUGUAGUAUGAGUUUGAAUAAAUACCACACGUCUCUUUCACAGCCGAUACUUUGAUUUGUCCCGACAGAAUACACACAGGUUUAACGAACAGAAUCAGCAGUGGAUCCGCUCUGUCGUCCCAGUAAGCCAUGACAGUGAGACGCUAAGAGAGCAUUUACAGCACCGGGGCCCCUGAAAGGAAGCAGAUCAAUGCAUUUCAGGCAACAUUAAUUCUAUUAUCUACACCUGUGCUUUUCCUAAUGUGACAUGUCAUAAUAUUUGUUACAAUGUAUUGUAAUGUGCUUGACUUAAUUCAACAACAAGUCUUUGUAAUAGGUUAUCGAAGAAUGACACCAUUUAAAUUCAUGUUUAAUUUGAAUUGCUGCGUACAAUAACAUUACUGUGUAAGAACAUGAAUAAAGUGUUCAUAUGCUGUUACAGAGUGGUGGACAGUAUUGCAGUGAGUGUUUAACUACCAUUUACGAGUAACUAUACUGUUUUUAGGGUGUUCUAACUUUUAUCCUCCUCCUGAAAGUUAUAUGUGUUGUUUUUAUUUUGAGUUUCUUUUAAUAUUUGAAUGUUUUGUUGCAUGCGAAAUGCACACAUCAUUGCUUAAAUACAUUCAUGUAUAUUUCUGUGUGGCUUGAAGGACGUUUUAGUUGCACUUUCCUUGCGUGUGUAUGUGUGCGUGUUCUCCAUACAAGGCUGGUCACGAAGGUCAUAAAGAGGAAGUCCCUGCGGUCAGUAAGAAGGAGCGCAUGUUUUGCUUGAUGUCAUAGUCCGCAUCCUUCAAUUUCCUCUCCUUCAUCCAUCUAUACUUGCCUUUGACCGUGGUGGAAAACCCAUGCAGCGUGUUUAGCGGGCCUUAGUUUAUGUGGGUGAGCCUGUCUGCGCGUGCAUAGUGAAGGAGGGUUGGUACAGUAAGAUGUUGUACUAAUCAUCUUUUGCUCAAGCUUGUGGUGGACCUUCUGCACAAAAGGUUACCUUCAAAUUAUUGUGACUUAUUUUAUAAGUGACCUUGAACAAUCUUAAUUUAUCCUCACACUAGCAUGCCUCAUUCCAACAUUAAAUAUAUACAUUUUAAAUUAUUACAACUUGUCUUGUGUCUACUUUUAUAGCAGAAUGGCACAUUUGUGAUAUGUAAAUUGUGAAUAUGCAAAGCCAACAGCUUAUAGCUACCCAUUGAAACUGAGACAUCAGAGGGCAAAUCACCAAGAUUUACCUUUUUUUAUGAAUUAUAAUACUUGCA